rnacentral:rRNA from 1 species
UACGUAGGCAGCAAGCGUUGUUCGGAAUUACUGGGCGUAAAGAGUGUGUAGGCGGUGUUCUAAGUUUGUCGUGAAAUCUCCCGGCUUAACUGGGAGGGUGCGGCGAAAACUGGAAUGCUAGAGGAUGGGAGAGGUAAGCGGAAUUCCUGGUGUAGCGGUGAAAUGCGUAGAUAUCAGGAGGAACACCAAUGGCGAAGGCAGUGUUCUGGGCCAGUACUGACGCUGAGGAGCGAAAGCGUGGGGAGCAAACAGG